rnacentral:tRNA from 1 species
GCCCGAAUGGCGGAAUUGGCAGACGCGCUAGACUUAGAAUCUAGUUCCACAAGAGUGCAGGUUCAAGUCCUGUUUCGGGCACCA